CAGGUGCGAAAGCGUGGGAGCAAACAGGAUUAGAUACCCUGGUAGUCCACGCUGUAAACGAUGUCGACUUGGAGGCUGUGCCCUUGAGGCGUGGCUUCCGGAGCUAACGCGUUAAGUCGACCGCCUGGGGAGUACGGCCGCAAGGUUAAAACUCAAAUGAAUUGACGGGGGCCCGCACAAGCGGUGGAGCAUGUGGUUUAAUUCGAUGCAACGCGAAGAACCUUACCUACUCUUGACAUCCACGGAAUUUAGCAGAGAUGCUUUAGUGCCUUCGGGAACCGUGAGACAGGUGCUGCAUGGCUGUCGUCAGCUCGUGUUGUGAAAUGUUGGGUUAAGUCCCGCAACGAGCGCAACCCUUAUCCUUUGUUGCCAGCACGUAAUGGUGGGAACUCAAGAGAGACUGCCGGUGACAAACCGGAGGAAGGUGGGGAUGAUGUCAAGUCAUCAUGGCCCUUACGAGUAGGGCUACACACGUGCUACAAUGGCAGAUACAAAGUGAAGCGAACUCGCGAGAGCAAGCGGACCACAUAAAGUCUGUCGUAGUCCGGAUUGGAGUCUGCAACUCGACUCCAUGAAGUCGGAAUCGCUAGUAAUCGUAGAUCAGAAUGCUACGGUGAAUACGUUCCCGGGCCUUGUACACACCGCCCGUCACACCAUGGGAGUGGGUUGCAAAAGAAGUAGGUAGCUUAACCUUCGAGAGGGCGCUUACCACUUUGUGAUUCAUGACUGGGGUGAAGUCGUAACAAGGUAACCGUAGGGGAACCUGCGGCUGGAUCACCUCCUU
rnacentral:rRNA from 1 species